GUGCGAACCCCCGAGGGCAGAAACGGGCUGGGUCUGCGGCUCGGGGUGCGGGGUUCAGACCUCGCCGAGACCGGCUCGGGCCUGGCGGAGCCCGGGGAGCGGCUCAGCUGAGUCAGCCCUCUGAAUUCUCCAGUGUGGAGGGAAGGAGACAGGGAGGAGGCCACUUGUCAGCAUUCACAAAGCUUGUUGAGUGCCGCAGACUAGAAAGAAGGGGUGGGCCCUGCCCAAAAAGUGACCAGAACUUCUCUGGACCUGGAUGCCCAGACCCUCUUUCCAUCCUGGAGGACUGGUAACAUACCAUCAGCUGCCCAGGCCUGGGCUGGUUUUAGAUUCCUGACCAUUCCUGGUUUCAGAUUCGUGACCAUUCCUGAUGCCUGGAGGGACAUUCUGAAAUCCAGGGAGACACAAAAAUGGAACCAGUUAUCCUGGCUUUCCACUUGCCAGCAGUGUGAUUCUGGGGGAUUCCCUUCUCCUCUCUGAGCCUCAGUUUUCUCCUUCGUAAAAUAGGAUUUGUAAUUCCUGCCUACCCUCCAGUACUGAUAUGAAGAUUUAAUGAGUUUAUGUACACAUGGACCCUCUGUAAGCUAUGAACCACUGGAAAAUGUUAAGCGUUGCUCCAUUUAUAUGAAGUUCAAAGCAAUUUGAUGCUGUUAGAAGUCUGACCAGUGUUGCCUUUGGGGAGGGAAUGACUGGAAAGGGGGCAACAGGGGGACUUCUGGCUGCUGGUAAGGUGGUUUGGGGAUGGAAGGACUGGGGACAGGGCUGUGCUCAGUUUGUGAAGAUGCCUUAGGAUCUGUGCAUUUUUUUUCUGUAUAUGUUAUACUACAACAACAUGUUCCCCCAAAAAAGAAAAGAAAGAUCAGGCAUCCUGACCACAUUUUAUUCACUCACACGAUGGGCAUUCUGGAAUGCUCUAUCAACGAGACAGGAACUGGGCUGAGUAUUGGGGAUACAACAGUGAACAUGAUGUGAUCCUGACUCUGUGAAGAAAAGAGGAGAAAGGGCGUGGCUUUCUCACCUCUGAAGGAGGCACAUUGGCAGGGGAGGGGCUUGCCCAGAGCCACUCCCUGGGCUGGCAGCAGAACCAGGACUAAAAUGAAGGACUCCUAGUGCUAUGGCUGAGUCUCUUCCAUUCCACCAGGCUGACUGGGAGAGACAGGCCCUGGUCUUAUGCUGCUCAGGGGAGAACAGUGAGAAGGUUUGCUGCUAACUCUGACUCUAACCCCCAGCUCCUUGAGGAUCCUCAGAACUCACCUCCACCAAACAGUCUUCUAGGAACAAUUCUAUUCUAUAGAUACUAUGAUUACCACCCCAGCCCCACGUUACAGGUGAGGAAAAUUAAUGUUCAGAGAGGGAAAGUGACCUCCCCAAGGUGGCACAGCCAGUCUAAGAGGAUUUGGUCAUUUGCUGGCAUCAUGCUGCUUCUGUUGACAUUUGUGGCCUUGCUGUGCUCUCUGACAGAAACCUGGGUGGUUGUGUGGAAGGAAACAUGUUUCCCUUGUCAGGCUCCUAUAGACUGGAUGGUGAAGGUGCUUCCUCCAAAUACUCAGGUUUCUGGGCACAGCAGUCAGAGCAUCAGGGCUCAAACUGGCAGAAAAACUCCCUUAAACUGAAAAUACAGGGGGUAGAGCUAGCUUUAGUCAUGGCUGCAUUGACGAGCUCAGAUGAUGUUGUCAGGAUUCGGUGUCAUUCUCUUGGUCUCUCAAGACUGUUUCCCUCUCUGCUGGCCUCAUUCUCUGGCAGGCUCUCUCCUCAUGAUCACAGGGUGGCUUCCAGCAGCACCAGCCAGGCGUCCUAGUCUCUCAGCAGCUGCAACAGAAACAGGGACUCUUUCCUCCACAGUUCCAACAACAUUCCUCAAACCAAGUCUCAUUGGCUCUUACUGAGACAUGUAUCCAUUCCUUGGCCAAUCACUGUGGCCAAGGGUUCUGACUGGCCAGGCCAUGGACAGUGAGGGCCUCAGAGGUACCUGGCAUUUGAGUCUAGGUGUGAUUUCUAGCCAUCCCAACCUCAGGACUCAGCAAGGUCCAAGAAGAAUCCUCCCAAAUUUGUGGAGAGGCUUACAUUUCAUAGGCCUUCAAUAAAUGGCAACAGUUUUUAUUGGUAUUCUUCUUUCUCUGCUUUGCCUCUGUCAUCAUCUUUACAGAAUAGACAUUCAGUAAUGUCUAGCAUACAGUAGGUACCCGAAGAAUCCUUAGUGGUUGACUGAUUUGGGGGGGCAGUGGGGGGUUGCUGAUGCCAUGUACCAAGUCAGAUAGAGUCUGGACAAAUUGGACAGCCCACAGGCCCGCAGACAGGAUGAGACUCAUUAUGGGAACUAUUUAAUUUUUUAUUUUGUUUUGUCUUCCAUAACUGAGCUGAAGCUAUAGUCUAGAGCUGCUGGGGGCAUCACCAGACUCUCCAGGAACAGACUCCCCCAUCACACACAUCCACCCACCAGCCUAGGAGGAUAUAGUCGGGAAAGCAUCAGAAAGAUCCCCUUAGGAGGCUGGUCCGGGAGGAGCAGGCAGAGCUUGUCAGACCCAAUCAGACUAUUUCUUGACUGAUACAACCCUGCAGAGAGUUUGCCUGGGGUGGGGCUGGGGACCGGCAUGUCCCAGCCUGGUCCCUUUCUCCUUGGGCCACCAGCUACUCUGAUUCAAUUGGGCAGUUUGAGUUUCCAAGAGGGAUUGGAGGUCCAUUAGGUCUUGACUAACAAUAGCUGCUAUUAAUCAAGUGUGUGCUGGGCCCCAUAGUUGGCACUUUGCAUGAUUUAAAUACAAGACCAGUGGAAUAUAUUUUGGAUACUCACAUUAUCCCUGCUUUUGCUUUACUCUUUCUGCUAUUUUCCCCCUUUUCCCUGAUUUCAAGUGCAAUGAAUAUGUGCUCACUGUAAAAUAAUGUAAACAAUAUGGAAAUGAAUACAAUAGGGUAAAAGUCCUCCAUAAUCCUACUCCUCAAAUAUCAACCACUGUUAACUCCUUGAUGAGAUUCUGCAUUUAGCUGUAUUAACAGAUGUAUGUCUGUUUUGUGAGAGGAAGAACAUUGCAUUGUUCACAUGUUCGUAGACUCCUUUCCUCCCUGCCUUUGAGGAAGAAAACUCUGUAGUUCAGGUAGCUUCAACCUGGUUUUAUUCUGUGGAUCUGAGUAACAGGAGGAGGGAAGGAAAGGAAACAAGCUAAGAGAGAAAGGGCAGAAGUUUCUGGGUGGGAAAAGAUGGGAGAGGCUGGAGCAGAGGGCAAGGAGGUAAGAACAGUGCAGCCUGAGCUUUGAGAGAGCAUUUGAGGGACUCAGGAUACAGAUUUGGAGGCUGUCUGCAGAGGGUGGGAGGGAAGACGAGAAAAAGAAACAGAGGAAAAGGAAUGUUGAGAAGUUUUUUUGAGAUUAUGAAUAAAAUCACCUUUAACAUUUUCAAAAGAAUUAAAUACAUAUUUUCAUUGCCUUUUGGACUUCCCUGAUGGCACAAUGGUUAAGAAUCCGCCUGCCAAUGCAGGGGACACAGGUUCGAGCCCUGGGCUGGGAAGACCCCACAUGCCACGGAGCAACUAAGCCCGUGCUCCACAACUACUGA